AGUGAACGCUGGCGGCAGGCCUAACACAUGCAAGUCGAACGGCAGCACAGUAAGAGCUUGCUCUUACGGGUGGCGAGUGGCGGACGGGUGCGGAAUACAUCCGAAUCUACUUUUUCGCGGGGCAUAACGUAGGGAAACUUACGCUAAUACCGCAUACGACCUACGGGUGAAAGCAGGGGAUCUUCGGACCUUGCGCGAUUGAAUGAGCCGAUGUCGGAUUAGCUAGUUGGCGGGGUAAAGGCCCACCAAGGCGACGAUCCGUAGCUGGUCUGAGAGGAUGAUCAGCCACACUGGAACUGAGACACGGUCCAGACUCCUACGGGAGGCAGCAGUGGGGAAUAUUGGACAAUGGGCGCAAGCCUGAUCCAGCCAUACCGCGUGGGUGAAGAAGGCCUUCGGGUUGUAAAGCCCUUUUGUUGGGAAAGAAAAGCAGCAGGUUAAUACCCCGCUGUUCUGACGGUACCCAAAGAAUAAGCACCGGCUAACUUCGUG
rnacentral:rRNA from 1 species